rnacentral:misc_RNA from 1 species
AAAUCAACUCAAGCUCAUUUGCUUGGUCAUGGAAGAAGAGUCUGCAUCGCAGCCUCCCCUCCGAAAUCCAAUGGCGGAAGGUCACUGGUGCCCGGCGUAGUAUUAACGUUCGCUGUGUACCCAGAGUCUUUCCUGCCCAACAACCCCCUUUCUCGU